rnacentral:rRNA from 1 species
UACGUAGGGCGCAAGCGUUGUCCGGAAUUAUUGGGCGUAAAGAGCUCGUAGGCGGUUCGUCGCGUCGGCUGUGAAAACCCGGAGCUCAACUCCGGGCCUGCAGUCGAUACGGGCGGACUUGAGUGUUGCAGGGGGAGACUGGAAUUCCUGGUGUAGCGGUGAAAUGCGCAGAUAUCAGGAGGAACACCGGUGGCGAAGGCGGGUCUCUGGGCAACUACUGACGCUGAGGAGCGAAAGCGUGGGGAGCGAACAGG